rnacentral:rRNA from 1 species
CCUACGGGAGGCAGCAGUGGGGAAUUUUGGACAAUGGGGGAAACCCUGAUCCAGCCAUCCCGCGUGUAUGAUGAAGGCCUUCGGGUUGUAAAGUACUUUUGGCAGAGAAGAAAAGGUAUCUCCUAAUACGGGAUACUGCUGACGGUAUCUGCAGAAUAAGCACCGGCUAACUACGUGC